rnacentral:tRNA from 4 species
GGGCACGUAGCUCAGUGGGAGAGCGCAUGCUUCACACGCAUGAGGUCACAAGUUCAAUCCUUGUCGUGCCCACCA